GCGAAAGUGGCGGAAUUUGGCAGACGCGCUGGACUUAGGAUCCAGUGGAGUUAUCCGUGAGGGUUCGAAUCCCUCCUUUCGCA
rnacentral:tRNA from 1 species